rnacentral:lncRNA from 1 species
UUUCAGGUAAGGACCGAAUUGUAAGGUCACAAGGAUCCUUUGCAACCUUAGUGAUCCAAUCCAGCAUGCCCGAGUAGCACUCCGGCUUCCUUUUCCUGCUAGCAGAGUCUUCACCAACACCACUUGUAUCCAUUACCCCGUGAUCAUCAUUCCCACCCACAAAACCAUUUCUCUCUUCACCAAAAUUCUCAGUAACUUGUUUAUUUUCCUCUUUGUUUAUAUAUUCAUCAUCACUAGUUGAUGACACGAAAACCCAACCAUCAGCACUAUUAAACAAUCUCCUUUUAGCCAUAGAUUUCAUAGCAUUCUUUUUAAAGGUCAGGUUCACAAACUCCCAUAUGUUAUAUUUUUAUCUAUCAUCAGUUCACUUGGAAAAAAAAAAAAAAAAUACCAAAUUUGCCUCCAUUCCCACACUAAAACCAAAACCCCAAUCCUUAAUCUUCACUUUGGCUUCCUAAUAUCUUUAAAUCUUCUCAAACACCUACACAACAUAUACCAAAACUUUGGCCAACUAAAUGUAUCAGACCACUAAAACAAUUUAAUGCAAAACCAACUCUAAAAUCAAAAACCACACUACCUAACCACUAAACUCCAUGAAUACACCAUUUUAACCAUUUUAUUUUCUCAUAAAGCAUAUUGCUUCAACAAAUCAAUUUGUUGCUCAUCACCAAUAUUGAAUGAUAAAUGACAUAAACAGCAAAAUCCCGGAAACAUCUUUAGUCAGAUCCUCAAGAAUCUUCGUUCAAAAAAUAAUAAUAAUAAAAAAUUCAGCCUUUUAUCACUAUUAUUUUCUCUGUUUUCUGCAAUAUUAGCACACCCUUCGGAAUAGGGUUCAAAAGCAAAGCAGGCUUCAAUUUUCUGAACUUUCAGAAGAGAAUUCAAGCUUUCUACACCAAACCCAUCAACUUUCUUGGGUCAUCCUGCCAUUAUUUUGUAUAUUCAGACUUUAAGCGAAACGUACAAAGCAAAUCAAGAAACUAAUACAUCUAAGCACAUUGAACGUGCAUGUGUGCGUAUAAGGGCUUUAGGACCUCUGACAAACACUUUUAAGGCAAAUGGGCAUUGAUUUUUUUGUGGGUUUUCAGUGGGUCUUGAUUCUUCAAAUAAACUCUUUAAACCCUGUGAAAAACUUUCAAAUUCCAGGUGAUUCUGUCCUGUGGUUCCGGGUUCAUUCGGUUCCAUUACUGUACAUCGUACAUAUAUCUGUCUCGAUGACAGAGAGAAACCCCCAAGUGAGAAAAAGAGAGCAAAUGGGUAUAUUUUCGAUAUUUGUACAGAGACAGGUCCCUCUGUCCAAAAAAAACAAAAAAAAAAAAAAUGGAACUUUUUGCAAGAAAAAGAGGGACAUACCCGUUAUUGAAUUUUCAGAGUUUAGAUGGACUAUUAGGGAUUGACUCUUCCAUUUUCUUGAUUCUUGUUGAUGCAAAUUCGUGAACUUUACUGCCUAAUUUUUGGGCUAUUGUUUCGCAAACACAAUUUCCUUUUUUAUUCACUGUGUAGAAUUCGUUAUUUUGGGGACAA